GGUGUAGCGCAGUUGGUAGCGCGCUUGCUUUGGGAGCAAGAUGCCGGGGGUUCAAAUCCCUCCAC
rnacentral:tRNA from 1 species